rnacentral:rRNA from 1 species
CGGGUGAGUAAUACAUCGGAACGUGCCCAGUCGUGGGGGAGUAACUACUCGAAAGAGUAGCUAAUACCGCAUACGAUCUGAGGAUGAAAGCGGGGGACCUUCGGGCCUCGCGCGAUUGGAGCGGCCGAUGGCAGAUUAGGUAGUUGGUGGGAUAAAAGCUUACCAAGCCGACGAUCUGUAGCUGGUCUGAGAGGACGAUCAGCCACACUGGGACUGAGACACGGCCCAGACUCCUACACGGGAGGCAGCAGGC